UCAAGUUGAAUGUCUGACCCGUCGCGCCAAAACUAUAAAUUGAGUAUAUAACGUGUUCUACAUCAUAUGUGAACAUUUGGGAUAAAGUCAAUAUGUCUCUUUUUUGACACUAUAUGUUUUAGUAUGCCAUUGACCGGGACGUGGACACAACUUAAUUGUUCCACACACGGCUGCAGGAUCAGUGCUCGUGCUGCACAGACAGACGAUGGACAGACGAGAAUCCUCCAUCCUACAAGUACGUUUCAACAUAUUUGGAUGAUGACAAAGCAUCAGGAGCAACAAACCAGGGGUUCAGGAUCAGGCCAAGCAAACCCUGACAUGCGAGGCAUGACAAGAAAGUUGCAAACACGAUUGAAUUCCUCAAGAAAGAAGUCGUAGCAAAGAACAAAGGUGGCGCCCGAAUAGCUCAUCGCCAAAGAGUCUUCAG